GAUGAACGCUGACAGAAUGCUUAACACAUGCAAGUCAACUGUGGCGGACGGGUGAGUAACGCGUAAAGAACUUGCCUCACAGUUAGGGACAACAUUUGGAAACGAAUGCUAAUACCUGAUACUGUGAGAGAGCUUUGCGUCCCAUUAGCUAGUUGGAGAGGUAACGGCUCACCAAGGCGAUGAUGGGUAGCCGGCCUGAGAGGGUGAUCGGCCACAAGGGGACGGAGAACCGGCCCUUACUCCUACGGGAGGCAGCAGUGGGGAAUAUUGGACAAUGGGCCAAAUUAUGAUACAGCAAGUCUGUGUGGACGAUCAAGUUUUCGGAAUGUACAGUGCUUUCAGUUGGGAAGCGGUACCAACAGAAGAAGCAACGGCUAAAUACGUGCCAGCAGCCGCGGUAAUAC
rnacentral:rRNA from 1 species